UACGAAGGGGGCUAGCGUUGCUCGGAAUCACUGGGCGUAAAGCGCACGUAGGCGGCUUCUUAAGUCAGGGGUGAAAUCCUGGAGCUCAACUCCAGAACUGCCUUUGAUACUGAGGAGCUCGAGUCCGGAAGAGGUGAGUGGAACUGCGAGUGUAGAGGUGAAAUUCGUAGAUAUUCGCAAGAACACCAGUGGCGAAGGCGGCUCACUGGUCCGGUACUGACGCUGAGGCGCGAAAGCUAGGGGGGCAAACGGG
rnacentral:rRNA from 1 species